UUUUCCAGAAAGCUCGGAACCAAGUCGCAUGUGAAUUGAAACCACUCCUUGUCCUUAGGUUCUUGGGGCUGUGCAGGUCUCCAGGUGGACUGUAGGGGAGGCGGAGAUGCAUGCUAUGGCCAGCAGGUGGCAGCCUGGGCACAUGGCAAGGCCAAUGGAGGGAACCCGUUCCUCAGGACCUGGACCUCUGGGAGCUGGUUCUGCACAUCUCUGAAGACUUCAACAACUGAAGUUCCUCAAGUUAGGCCAAGCUCAUUUGCCAGUUCUGGAUAGCAAGGACAAAUGUCAAGCAAUUGCACAUUUGAGAGGCCACAGAGGUUGGUGAUUUUUAUUGUCCUUAUCCUGAAGACCUCAUUUAGAAUAUGUGUUUCUCUGGAAACAUUAAUAAUGUGCUAUCCUCGUUAUUAAAGCAUUUCCCAACAAAAUGCUUCCUUUCUUCAGCCUCCUGCUGUCAGUGCAGGUCCCAGCUCUUUAUCACAUUGCUUUUACAGAGGGCCGGCUCAGUGCGGCUGUGCCUAGGGAUGGCGGGGUGGGGGGGUGGCUCAGGGAACACUAAUUGGGAUGCAGGCAGUUCGUUCCCGCUCCUUGGCGUAGCUGAGUUAACAGGGUUAGGUUUGUGUGACUCAUGAAUCAUUUCAGAAUAUUAGCAGAAAUGGCAUCUAAAAAGA